AUACGUAGGUGGCAAGCGUUGUCCGGAAUCAUUGGGCGUAAAGAGCGCGUAGGUGGCUUGUCAGGUCUGGUGUGAAAUUUCGGGGCUCAACUCCGAACCUGCAUCGGAAACCGGCUUGCUAGAGUCUGGGAGAGGAGAGUGGAAUUCCUGGUGUAGCGGUGAAAUGCGUAGAUAUCAGGAGGAACACCGGUAGCGAAGGCGGCUCUCUGGAACAGUACUGACGCUGAGGCGCGAAAGCUAGGGGAGCGAACAGGAUUAGAUACCCUGGUAGUCCUAGCCGUAAACGAUGGACACUAGGUGUCGGGGGUGUCGACUCCCCCGGUGCCGAAGCUAACGCAUUAAGUGUCCCGCCUGGGGAGUACGGCCGCAAGGCUAAA
rnacentral:rRNA from 1 species